rfam:Myotis lucifugus cont2.34243, whole genome shotgun sequence.
CAUGCACCAGUGGGGUCCCUCAGCCUGGCCUGUGCCCUCUCACAAUCCAGGACCCCUUGCGGGAUGUUGGAGAACCAGUUUCGGACCAAUCCCGCAGGCCAGGCUGAGGGACCCCACUGGUGCACA